CCUACGGGCGGCAGCAGUGGGGAAUAUUGGACAAUGGGGGGAACCCUGAUCCAGCCAUGCCGCGUGUGUGAAGAAGGCCCUCGGGUUGUAAAGCACUUUCAGUGAGGAAGAACGCCUGGUGGUUAAUACCCAUCAGGAAAGACAUCACUCACAGAAGAAGCACCGGCUAACUCCGUGCCAGCAGCCGCGGUAAUACGGAGGGUGCGAGCGUUAAUCGGAAUUACUGGGCGUAAAGCGCGCGUAGGUGGCUUGAUAAGCCGGUUGUGAAAACCCCGGGCUCAACCUGGGAACGGCAUCCGGAACUGUCAAGCUAGAGUGCAGGAGAGGAAGGUAGAAUUCCCGGUGUAGCGGUGAAAUGCGUAGAGAUCGGGAGGAAUACCAGUGGCGAAGGCGGCCUUCUGGACUGACACUGACACUGAGGUGCGAAAGCGUGGGUAGCAAACAGGAUUAGAUACCCGAGUAGUC
rnacentral:rRNA from 1 species